AAUAGAUACCCCGGUAGUCCACGCCGUAAACGAUGUCGACUUGGAGGUUGUGCCCUUGAGGCGUGGCUUCCGGAGCUAACGCGUUAAGUCGACCGCCUGGGGAGUACGGCCGCAAGGUUAAAACUCAAAUGAAUUGACGGGGGCCCGCACAAGCGGUGGAGCAUGUGGUUUAAUUCGAUGCAACGCGAAGAACCUUACCUACUCUUGACAUCCAGAGAACUUAGCAGAGAUGCUUUGGUGCCUUCGGGAACUCUGAGACAGGUGCUGCAUGGCUGUCGUCAGCUCGUGUUGUGAAAUGUUGGGUUAAGUCCCGCAACGAGCGCAACCCUUAUCCUUUGUUGCCAGCGAUUCGGUCGGGAACUCAAAGGAGACUGCCAGUGAUAAACUGGAGGAAGGUGGGGAUGACGUCAAGUCAUCAUGGCCCUUACGAGUAGGGCUACACACGUGCUACAAUGGCAUAUACAAAGAGAAGCGACCUCGCGAGAGCAAGCGGACCUCAUAAAGUAUGUCGUAGUCCGGAUUGGAGU
rnacentral:rRNA from 1 species